CUGAAUGUCUCUCUCUGUAUUUAAGGAUAUUCUCUCAAGUGUUACUCGUGUUCAUCUGCCUUGACGGGUUCUUGUGAAGCAAAAGUGGAUACAUGUCCAGUUGGAUAUUCUAAAUGUGAAAGCAGUAUAUUUGAACAAUCAGUUGGUUUCACUAAGGUGUUAUUCACAACAAAAGGGUGUGCAAAUCAAUGUGAACCAGGGACCAAACAGAUACCAAUUGGAGGGACAGUGUCAACCCGCUGCUGUGACACUGACCUUUGCAAUGCAGCAGAUGGAGUGUAUAAGGGAAGCUUCCUCCUGCUCUUCUCUCCUCUGUUCUUCUACUUCCUGUUUCAGUGAGUCCAGAUUCAGCACUUCAGAUUCUACAGCUGAAGAUCACCACAAAAACGGAAUAUGAGACACGAUUGAUUUAAUUUACUGAAUAAAGUAUGUUUGUUGUU